AAGAGUGUUAGGGAGCCUCCAAACGCAGCACGCUCACGGAGAAUCUCCCGUUCAGAAACAUCGCUUAGUCCUCAUUUACUCACUGGGAACCUCGGAGGAUUUCAGCUGAUGUUUUUCUCUCCUUAGACAGUGAGGAGCUCAACAUAACAGGGAAAAGGAGCACAGGAUGCAGCUACUUGGAGGGUGUUGAUUGAAAACUUCGAUCUCCCCACCCCAUUCACGGUUGAUUUGACGGAUUUCUCACCUCGUUCACAGAGAAAAUUUCAAUUAAGGCCCCUUUAGAUGGAAUAUAAUACAGCAGAAGCCUUUUCAUCAAAAGGAUUAAUGCCUGCCUCAUCAUUUCUGCAAUAAAACAAGAAGCUAAGUGGUGGAGGCCACAGACACCUCAAACCUGGAUUCCACAAUUCUACGUUAAGUGUUGGAGUUUUUAUUACUCUGCUGUAGGAAAGCCUUUGCCAAUGCUUACAAGGAACUGUUUAUCCCUGCUUCUCUGGGUUCUGUUUGAUGGAGGUCUCCUAACACCACUACAACCACAGCCACAGCAGACUUUAGCCACAGAGCCAAGAGAAAAUGUUAUCCAUCUGCCGGGACAACGGUCACAUUUCCAACGUGUUAAACGUGGCUGGGUAUGGAAUCAAUUUUUUGUGCUGGAAGAAUACAUGGGCUCUGAGCCUCAGUAUGUGGGAAAGCUCCAUUCCGACUUAGACAAGGGAGAGGGCACUGUGAAAUACACCCUCUCAGGAGAUGGCGCUGGCACCGUUUUUACCAUUGAUGAAACCACAGGGGACAUUCAUGCAAUAAGGAGCCUAGAUAGAGAAGAAAAACCUUUCUACACUCUUCGUGCUCAGGCUGUGGACAUAGAAACCAGAAAGCCCCUGGAGCCUGAAUCAGAAUUCAUCAUCAAAGUGCAGGAUAUUAAUGAUAAUGAGCCAAAGUUUUUGGAUGGACCUUAUGUUGCUACUGUUCCAGAAAUGUCUCCUGUGGGUGCAUAUGUACUCCAGGUCAAGGCCACAGAUGCAGAUGACCCGACCUAUGGAAACAGUGCCAGAGUCGUUUACAGCAUUCUUCAGGGACAACCUUAUUUCUCUAUUGAUCCCAAGACAGGUGUUAUUAGAACAGCUUUGCCAAACAUGGACAGAGAAGUCAAAGAACAAUAUCAAGUACUCAUCCAAGCCAAGGAUAUGGGAGGACAGCUUGGAGGAUUAGCCGGAACAACAAUAGUCAACAUCACUCUCACCGAUGUCAAUGACAAUCCACCUCGAUUCCCCAAAAGCAUCUUCCACUUGAAAGUUCCUGAGUCUUCCCCUAUUGGUUCAGCUAUUGGAAGAAUAAGAGCUGUGGAUCCUGAUUUUGGACAAAAUGCAGAAAUUGAAUACAAUAUUGUUCCAGGAGAUGGGGGAAAUUUGUUUGACAUCGUCACAGAUGAGGAUACACAAGAGGGAGUCAUCAAAUUGAAAAAGCCUUUAGAUUUUGAAACAAAGAAGGCAUACACUUUCAAAGUUGAGGCUUCCAACCUUCACCUUGACCACCGGUUUCACUCGGCGGGCCCUUUCAAAGACACAGCUACGGUGAAGAUCAGCGUGCUGGACGUAGAUGAGCCACCGGUUUUCAGCAAGCCGCUCUACACCAUGGAGGUUUACGAAGACACUCCGGUAGGGACCAUCAUUGGCGCUGUCACUGCUCAAGACCUGGAUGUAGGCAGCAGUGCUGUUAGGUACUUCAUAGAUUGGAAGAGUGAUGGGGACAGCUACUUUACAAUAGAUGGAAAUGAAGGAACCAUCGCCACUAAUGAAUUACUAGACAGAGAAAGCACUGCGCAGUAUAAUUUCUCCAUAAUUGCGAGUAAAGUUAGUAACCCUUUAUUGACCAGCAAAGUCAAUAUACUGAUUAAUGUCUUAGAUGUAAAUGAAUUUCCUCCAGAAAUAUCUGUGCCAUAUGAGACAGCCGUGUGUGAAAAUGCCAAGCCAGGACAGAUAAUUCAGAUAGUCAGUGCUGCAGACCGAGAUCUUUCACCUGCUGGGCAACAAUUCUCCUUUAGAUUAUCACCUGAGGCUGCUAUCAAACCAAAUUUUACAGUUCGUGACUUCAGAAACAACACAGCUGGGAUUGAAACCCGAAGAAAUGGAUACAGCCGCAGGCAGCAAGAGUUGUAUUUCCUCCCUGUUGUAAUAGAAGACAGCAGCUACCCUGUCCAGAGCAGCACAAACACAAUGACUAUUCGAGUCUGUAGAUGUGACUCUGAUGGCACCAUCCUGUCUUGUAAUGUGGAAGCAAUUUUUCUACCUGUAGGACUUAGCACUGGGGCGUUGAUUGCAAUUCUACUAUGCAUUGUUAUACUCUUAGCCAUAGUUGUACUGUAUGUAGCACUACGAAGGCAGAAGAAAAAAGACACCCUGAUGACCUCUAAAGAAGACAUCAGAGACAACGUCAUCCAUUACGAUGAUGAAGGAGGUGGGGAGGAAGAUACCCAGGCUUUCGACAUCGGGGCUCUGAGAAACCCAAAAGUGAUUGAGGAGAAUAAAAUUCGCAGGGAUAUAAAACCAGACUCUCUCUGUUUACCUCGUCAGAGACCACCCAUGGAAGAUAACACAGACAUAAGGGAUUUCAUUCAUCAAAGGCUACAGGAAAAUGAUGUGGACCCAACUGCCCCACCAUACGAUUCACUGGCCACAUAUGCCUACGAAGGGAGUGGGUCCGUGGCAGAGUCCCUCAGCUCUAUAGACUCUCUCACCACAGAAGCCGACCAGGACUAUGACUAUCUGACAGACUGGGGACCCCGCUUUAAAGUCUUGGCAGACAUGUUUGGCGAAGAAGAGAGUUAUAACCCUGAUAAAGUCACUUAA
rnacentral:sRNA from 1 species